CACCAACACCUUCGGGUCCGUUCUCAGGCGGGCCUCGCUGCGAUGAUCAGGAGCCGACGGCAGCCUGGUUGCUCCGCGGAGUGUCGAACACCUUAUCGCUGGCUCCGGCCUAGUGUCUCGGUGGAUCAGGCUGAAAUCCGGCAAAGAGAAAUCGUUUGAGAUCGUCGAGAAGGGACGAAGCGAGGGGCGGGCAUCCGUGAAAUCGAGGAGCCGAUUCGGAGUUUCGCAAUUAAUCGGAGCCGGUUGAUCUGGAUCUUCCGAGGGAGGCGAACUAUCGCGAAACGAUCUAGAGACCGACGCCCGAGGGCGGUCUCCCCUAAGCCUGUGAUCUCGAAGACUAAUUGUCCUCGCAACGAUCAUAAGCGCGUGGACCAUCAAUACUUCCUCAUCCACACGAGGCAACGACUUUCUUUCGAAGCGUCGCGAAGAGCUUCCUCUACCGCGGCAAAGAGACUCACUGAUCAGGCCUGCUCUCCGUGAAUGACCACUGUGCGAUGGUUCUGCAUGUUUCACGGCGCUAAUCAUAGCACAACAGUCGAUACACGACGAACCCGACAGGCCUUCCCCCGUCGAAGCUUCUCGGGCGAAGCUAAUCUCUCUGAAGAUCCCGUGACAGCAACCUAUUGAAUUAUAGCUGGAGAUCCUGGAGGAUCUGGAGAGGCAAUCCGCUAAAUUCGUAGAUCAAACGAGCGUGCGCGGGGAAGGCGGUCUAAAACGUGGUCCGGCAAAAGGUGAAUCCUAGGGAUCAUCGAGAUCUACGAUCGACACGCUCGAUCAGAAUGGGACAUCGCGUUGGGAUUUAUCCGUCGAUUCCCGAUAAUUACGCAGGCUUUGGGAUUCGAAAGGUAAAAAGGUACAACGCGUGGUUUCUAUUCUAGAACGCGCGAAGAAGAAAGCCGUUUUAUUAAUUACAAAUACAGGGUGUCCCAAAAUUGUGAAACUUUCAGGAAAUACUAGGUUUCGUGAGGUUCUUUGAAGUAACUUUUUCCUCAGCGAAAAUGGAAUCCGAGGCUUUGUUUACGAGUUAUUAUUAU